UUAGAGUUUGAUCCUGGCUCAGAUUGAACGCUGGCGGCAGGCCUAACACAUGCAAGUCGAGCGGAAACGAGUUAUCUGAACCUUCGGGGGACGAUAACGGCGUCGAGCGGCGGACGGGUGAGUAAUGCCUAGGAAAUUGCCCUGAUGUGGGGGAUAACCAUUGGAAACGAUGGCUAAUACCGCAUAAUGCCUACGGGCCAAAGAGGGGGACCUUCGGGCCUCUCGCGUCAGGAUAUGCCUAGGUGGGAUUAGCUAGUUGGUGAGGUAAUGGCUCACCAAGGCGACGAUCCCUAGCUGGUCUGAGAGGAUGAUCAGCCACACUGGAACUGAGACACGGUCCAGACUCCUACGGGAGGCAGCAGUGGGGAAUAUUGCACAAUGGGCGCAAGCCUGAUGCAGCCAUGCCGCGUGUGUGAAGAAGGCCUUCGGGUUGUAAAGCACUUUCAGUCGUGAGGAAGGU
rnacentral:rRNA from 1 species